CCCCUAGAUGUUCUGGGCCGCACGCGCGCUACACUGAACAGUUCAACAAGUCUUAACCUUGGCCGAUAGGUCUGGGUAAUCUUUGAACGCUGUUCGUGAUUGGGAUAGACCUUUGCAAUUAUGGGUCUUCAACGAGAAAUUCCUAGUAAACGCAAGUCAUCAGCUUGCAUUGAUUACGUCCCUGCCCUUUGUACACACCGCCCGUCGCACCUACCGAUUGAAUGGUCCGGUGAAAUCUCGGGACGGCGGCUUGGUCGCUUGCGUCCGACUGCUGAAACUUGAUUAAACCAUAUCAUUUAGAGGAAGGUGAAGUCGUAACA
rnacentral:rRNA from 1 species